UACGUAGGCAGCGAGCGUUGUUCGGCAUUAUUGGGCGUAAAGAGUGUGUAGGCGGUGCUCCAAGUCUGUCGUGAAAUCUCCCGGCUUAACUGGGAGGGUGCGGCGGAAACUGGAAUGCUAGAGGGUGGGAGAGGUAAGCGGAAUUCCUGGUGUAGCGGUGAAAUGCGUAGAUAUCAGGAGGAACACCAAUUGCGAAGGCAGCUCGCUGGGACGUGACUGACGCUGAGACGCGAAAGCGUGGGGAGCAAACAGG
rnacentral:rRNA from 1 species